rnacentral:lncRNA from 1 species
GAACCAACAUUUCAUUAAGAAUAACUUUCACUAUACUUUGAUGGAUAAUAUAUCAAUUAACACUCAUCAACAAUAUUACAUUUUAAUACAUUAAUUUUUACACUUCAUUAUCAUGUACAUGUUAACCAUAAAUGAAAAUACAAAAUAUAUCAAUUUCAAUUUUCCAGCAAAUGUCUUUGAGUUCAAUUUCUUCUGUAGUUUCUUGUUCUUCUUCUUUGAAGACUCAUACAACUCCUUCAUAACUUCAACAACUUUGAAC